ensembl:lncRNA
CUCAGGAGUAUUUAGCCAGAAGAACUAGAGAAAGGUUCCUCUGGCUUCUCCAAGAGGGAGCUACUGCAGUGAGCAGCAAACAUGACAUUAGAUCUAAGGGAUGGUGUUUCUGAGGGACCCAGAUUUAGUCUGCCCCCCUCCCCCUUGUUUAUAUCCAUUUCAGGGUUUUCUAUGAAUCAACAAAGAUAACAAACAAACAAACAAUGAAGGUAAGAAAUGGGAGAAGAGAAGCUUGCUGAGGUCUAAACAUGGGAGCCUAGUCUGAAGCUGCUGCCUUCCUCCAGAUUUGGCAAAGUAGUCUCUCUAGACUUUUACUCCCUACCUUAUUCCUUAGAUUGGAACUCAAAUUUCUCUCGGUCUUGAGUCACAGAAUUAUAGAUAGAAAAGUGCAAAAUACACCACCUUGUGUUCAGAUCUAGAAACUGAGACCCAGAGAAGCCCUGUGACAUGCCUAACUGCUGGAACUUGCCUUGAAAUUAAGUCUUUAGCCUGGCUACUCAUGUAUUCUGGUGCCAGGGGAACCUCUCCAUAGCUGCCCAGAGAAGUCUCAGAGGUACAACAGCUGCAUGGGUGCCAAGAGUGUUUGCAGACACCAGACGUGGGAGCCUGGAGAGUGCCUGAGCUGCAAGUGCUCACAGCUGAUGUAGGUAGAAGCAGUGUCAUCCCAGCCUGACGAGGACCACCUGGAGAAACCAGAGACCCGAAGCGCAAGACACCCCACCUUGCUCACGCAGCCUGAAGAUUGAUUCAGGGAAGUUACACCGCCCAUAGUGUGACAUGCAACUGUUAUUUCUUGAAAGAGCACCCAUCAAAAUCACUAGUCAUUAAAACGAAUCAAGGAAUAGGCAACACCUCUUUGAUGGAAGAGACCUGGGUUCAGAUCCUGAAUCCUCUGCUUACUAGCCAUGAAGACUUGGCCAGGCAAUUGCACUUGUCUGAAGUUCUGCUCACUGUUCUACAUGAUCUGGGACUAUUGUGAGAAUUCAGAGAUAAUGUACAUAAGGGGCCCAGCUCUGGAUGGGCACAGAGUGAGAAGCAGGCUUUGGCUGGACACAGCUGCCUGGACUUCACAUCCCAGUAACAGCACAGAGCCAGCACUGGACACUGGUUGGCUUAAAGCAUGGCUCUUCAACCU